rnacentral:tRNA from 1 species
GCCCGGAUGAUGUAGCCUGGAUAUCAUAGGGGCCUGCGGAGCCCUUUACCGGGGUUCGAAUCCCCGUCCGGGCG